rnacentral:rRNA from 1 species
UCGGGAAUUUUGGGCAAUGGGCGAAAGCCUGACCCAGCAACGCCGCGUGAAGGAUGAAGUUUUUCGGAAUGUAAACUUCGUAAGAAUAGGAAGAAUAAAUGACGGUACUAUUUGUAAGGUCCGGCUAACUACGUGCCAGCAGCCGCGGUAAUACGUAGGUGGCAAGCGUUGUCCGGAUUUAUUGGGUUUAAAGGGUGCGUAGGUGGCCCUGUAAGUCAGUGGUGAAAUAUCUCAGCUUAACUGAGAGGGUGCCAUUGAUACUGCAGGGCUUGAGUACAGAUGAGGUAGGCGGAAUUGACGGUGUAGCGGUGAAAUGCAUAGAUAUCGUCAAGAACACCGAUAGCGAAGGCAGCUUACCAAGCUGUAACUGACACUGAGGCACGAAAGUGUGGGGAUCAAACAGGAUUAGAUACCCACGUAGUCCCUGAGCGGGCUGGCAAGGCGCAU